AAUUUGCGCUUUAAAUGACUAGCUUCAAUUGAUCAGAUUUUCAUUUUUACUUUCUCUCUUUUCAUUUCAUUUUCUCUCUCUUCCUCUGAAUCCUCUCUAAUUCUCUCUCGUCCUUCGAAUUUAUCUGUGCUCUUAUCGUCAUUGGAUUUGUUGUUCUUCUUCGCUUUUUUCAUUGCAAAUUGAUACUGCACAAGAAGAAGAAAUGGCAUUGAAUCAUGUAAGGUCAUUGAAAUUUGCUAUGAAUUCAAUGGAGCCAAUGCGGAUGAUUGGUUCAAGGACAUAUGCUGCUGGGAAAGCAAAAAAAGGGGUCUAAAGGUAUCAUGUCUCAGCAAAGAAUUAAGGCUACCACUGUAGUGGGAGCUAACAUACUGAAGGAGGGCACAGAUCUUAAGAUACGGCUGGACUCUGAGUACCCAGAUCUUAAGCAACCAGCGUUGAGUGAGUUGCAAUGGUAAGAAGCUGAAGAUUUCCCUAUUGAAGAUCUUAAACGCUAUGUUAAGUUGGACAAUCAAGCAAGAAUCAAGUUAAACAGGAACUCUAAUAAUAUAUCUUCCCUUACCUAUUCUAAUGUGUGCAUCUUUUUUUAGAAGAACCGAGAUGAAAUUUAGAUCAAUACUUAUAUUGUCAUAUGAGUAUUAAUGUACUGUAUUUAAUUUAUUAGAUAUAAGACUAUUUUUACUUUUAUGAUUUUUUUUAUUUUCUUUUAUAAUUUUUUCAUUUACUUUUGAAUUAUUUUUCUUUACUUUGAUUUUUUAAUAUACAGGCAGAGCAUUGUUCAAAUGAACAAAAAAUGUGGGUUCGAUUACCACGUAGGUUUAAUUAUUAGAUAUAGGAGUAUUUUAUAUUUACUCUA